rnacentral:rRNA from 1 species
AGCUCCAAUAGCGUAUAUUAAAGUUGUUGCAGUUAAAAAGCUCGUAGUUGGAUUUGUGGCUAGCGCUGUGGCGUCCAUUUGUUUGGUUCAGCCGCGGCCUUGCCAUCCUUGGGUGGAUUUUGUGUGGCAUUAGGUUGUCGUGCAGGGGAUGCCCAUCGUUUACUGUGAAAAAAUUAGAGUGUUCAAAGCAGGCUUAUGCCGUUGAAUAUAUUAGCAUGGAAUAAUAAGAUAGGUCUUUGGUCCUAUUUUGUUGGUUUGCGGGCCAGAGAAAUGAUUAACAGGGACAGUUGGGGGUAUUCGUAUUCCAUUGUCAGAGGUGAAAUUCUUGGAUUUCUGGAAGACGAACUACUGCGAAAGCAUUUACCAAGGAUGUUUUCAUUAAUCAAGAACGAAAGUACGC